AACAAGCUCUUCUAUCACAGGUUAUAGACAACAGCCCUGGAGAGAGAGGAGAGAGAGAGGUUAACAAGCUCUUCUAUCACAGGUUAUAGACACAGCCCUGGAGAGAGAGGAGAGAGAGGUUAACAAGCUCUUCUAUCACAGGUUAUAGACACAGCCCUGGAGAGAGAGGAGAGAGAGAGGUUAACAAGCUCUUCUAUCACAGGUUAUAGACAACAGCCCUGGAGAGAGAGGAGAGAGAGGUUAACAAGCUCUUCUAUCACAGGUUAUAGACAACAGCCCUGGAGAGAGAGGAGAGAGAGGUUAACAAGCUCUUCUAUCACAGGUUAUAGACAACAGCCCUGGAGAGAGAGGAGAGAGAGAGGUUAACAAGCUCUUCUAUCACAGGUUAUAGACAACAGCCCUGGAGAGAGAGGUUAACAAGCUCUUCUAUCACAGGUUAUAGACAACAGCCCUGG